GGCAGUGUAGCAUAGUGGUUAAGGAGCAGGACUCGUAAUCGAAAGGUUUCUGGUUCGAUUCCCCACCGGGGCGCUGCUG
rnacentral:tRNA from 1 species